rnacentral:rRNA from 1 species
AAUUGAGACAGGUGGUGCAUGGUUGUCAUCAGCUCGUGUCGUGAGAUGUUGGGUUAAGUCCCGCAACGAGCGCAACCUUGUGUUUAGUUGCAAACAGGUCAAGCUGUGCACUCUAGACAGACUGCCGUGGACAACACGGAGGAAGGUGGGGAUGACGUCAAAUCAUCAUGCCCCUUAUGAUCUGGGCUACACACGUGUUACAAUGGCCGGUACAACGGGCAGCGAAGGAGCGAUCCGGAGCGAAUCCUAAAAAGCCGGUCCCAGUUCGGAUUGCAGGCUGAAACUCGCCUACAUGAAGUUGGAGUUGCUAGUAAUCGCGAAUCAGAAUGUCGCGGUGAAUGCGUUCCCGGGUCUU